UACGUAGGGUGCAAGCGUUGUCCGGAAUUAUUGGGCGUAAAGCGCUCGCAGGUGGUUCGAUACGUCGUGCGUGAAAGACCCCGGCUCAACUGGGGAGUGUCGUGCGAUACGGUCGGACUGGAGGCCAGUAGGGGGAUGCGGAAUUCCGGGUGUAGUGGUGGAAUGCGUAGAGAUCCGGAGGAACACCAGCGGCGAAGGCGGCAUCCUGGACUGGUCCUGACACUCAUGAGCGAAAGCGUGGGGAGCGAGUCCGG
rnacentral:rRNA from 1 species